UGGGCAUAAGAUGUGCAUUCUGCAGUCAGAACCGCUUAGACAUACUCGAAAAGAUGUCACGGAUUUAUUUGUAUCCAUACAAUAAUUCUUUGUGGAUGUUAAGAAGCUUGAAUAAAGUGAAUGGUUGUCACAAUAUUCUUAUAUCGACUUUGUUAUAAUGCAGCAUGGGUUUGGACCUUUCGAAAGGUACAACUCGGAACAAUCUUGAAGCUGGAGUUAUCGAGCCUGCAAUGAGCAAAGUGAAGAUCAUACAGGUAAAAAGUGUUUCUGACUUGACCAUGCUGCUGUAAUUGCUUGGAUUAUUAUGGUUAUCAUCAAAUCCGUACUUUUGAUUUGUGCCUCACUUUCUUUAUAGCAGCACAAUAACUAACAUGUGGGCAGCAAAUUUUGUUUAUUAUAUUACAUCUGCAAGAAAAUGACUUUGAAUAUCACCAAAUUUUGAUGUGCUGUUUAUUUGUGACCACAGUUUGCCACUGAGGCAGCUAUAACGAUUCUUCGGAUUGAUGAUAUGAUUAGGCUCAUCAAAGAUGAAAGGGAGAACGAAGAGGAUUAGAUCACUGGCAUCGUGUUCGAACACAAGUGAUUUGCUGGAUUUUCUUCUCUUAUAGGUUGCCAUUUGUGUUUCUAUUCUCCUACGAACAGGAAUUUGUAAACCGUGUGAGACAUUUAAAUCUGAUGACCACAUAUUGCUUGACCUUUCAUUAGAUUCCGUAGUUAGGGUUCUUUAUUCUCUCAAGUUUUUAAAGAUGUUUGGGUUACCAAGAAAGGCUAAUGAGAAAUUAGUGCUGAAUCUAUGCAUUUGCAUUGUAGGUUGUCGAGCUGGCAGAAACAUCGAUUUAGAGACCCAUGUAAUGUGCAGAUAUCUAAGAUUGUGUUGAGCCAUCUCAAAAUCAUCAGAAAGCAUGCCGUCUUGUGGGUAAAAUACCCAUCAGAGAACUAUAUGGUCUUACGGUGACUGAAUGGUACGUAAAAUUCGUGCAAUAGACUCAGAAGACUUCAUUUCGAAAAGAGAUCUAUUAGCAUCUUAACCUCGUCCAUGGUUCUGAUGAGCAAUGCCAUAUUUUUGUGUUGGGCGUGUUGUUUCCUAGAUGUCGACACAUUUAUUUAAUCCAGUCUCAUCCCUUAAUUUAGCAUAUUUCAUUAAGCUAUUCAUAUCUUUGCAGUUGAUCAUUUAAUUACGUAGGUCCAUUUUUUAUACCGAAGAUUCAAAGUGCAUAACCAUUAGAGUACUUACAAUAUUAUUAGUCACAUCAUAUUUAUCCAAACUGUUACAUUCUUUGUUCCAUCAGAAAUUCUCAUUCUUGAGUUGUAUGACUAACAUUCUCUAUAUAAGCAAAAAAUGAACUGAAGAACAAUAAUAACAACAUCAACAAUAAUAAUGAUUUCUAAGGUACACUAAUAAUAAUGUUCUGCUGUACAGUGAUAAGGUUACAAAAUAUGAAAGAAUUUUUUGUGUGAUGCAACUAAAAUACAGUAUAUAGAUGUUGUAUUAAUGACAAUGUAUCUCCAAGGCUGAUAGCAGGUGGAGGAUUCUACCUCAAUUCACCACCAAAAAAAGCUUUGCCAACUGGUGUACUUUAAAUCAUGGUCUGCAGUACCGGACCGUACCACCCGAUAUGGGCGGUACAUACCGGUCCGACCGGCUUCCGGUACGCAGACCAUCUGUUACCGGUCCGACACUGUAGUAGCACUGUAGUAGUGCUACAGUGAUACGGUAUUGCGGACCUUGCUUUAAAUACCGCUCUCCUGCCCACCUUAGAGUUCUCUUUUGAGACUUCAUAAGCCUCUGAUGCCCUACAGAAUGAUGAUCAAGUUGCUUUUCAGUGGAUAAUAAGGUAUCAUUAAGGAGUUCGUUAAAAGAUACACAACUGCAUUACACAUUGGUAGAUAAUACCAUUUCAAUUCUGUAAUUUAACACUAAAUUUUAAGGUUUUUAAGUAUUGAGUUUGUCAGCAUAUUAAAACAACAAUGGUCAAAUAAUACGUCGAUGCAUAUUGAAUUUGGACACAUAACCACCAUUUGUGUCAUCAAAGUGAGAAAGCAGUGGGUAGUGGAUAGGUUCUUGACAGAAAAAUUACAACCAUUGCUUUAUCUACCCUCCUUCCAUCAGAAAAUGGGGGGAAAAAAUGAAAUCUAAAGAACUUGGGAUGAAUCAAGAUAAGGGAAAUGAUAAGACAGGAGUUCAGCAGCAAGAAAAAACAAAAGAGAAAAUUAGGAUGAAGCAACAAACACAAAACAGAAAUAGGAAAAGCAAGAAAGUAAUCUGAAGUAAUGGUGAUCGGUUCAAAAGGUAAUACAUGAAAGACAGUACUGAAAUCAUAACUUCAGCUAACAUGAGGUCCAAUAAAUUAAAGUCAUGGUUUGGGAGCCCACUGUCGCUUAUAAGGUGCCAAGGUUUCUUCACAACAGAUACUUGACAUGGAUCCUCAAUUGAUGAAGAAGCAUGAGCAUGGCAAUCCUCCUCUAGUAAUAUAAUCGGUUAGUAAAUAAGAAAUAAUAUUAAACUGAAUUCCAGAUAACAGUGUCCAAAGAAAGAACCUUCUAACGAAAACUCUCAUAGUUUCUUUAAAAGCCCUUCUAAAUUAAAGAAAAAGCUCUCAUAUUUUCUUCCUUCGACAACCAUGUCUUCUAUUCUUUUACCUUAUCAUUUACCAUGUACCCAGCCCACUUAAGAGGACGAACAAACCGAGCUGCAAAACGACAGGCAUCGCCAGCAGCAGAUCAACAAUCCACAAGUUUUAGCUAUCAAAAUAUCCAAAAGAACUUACUUUAGAAUGUCUGUAAACGCACCAUAAGAAAACCAUAACUCAGUUUCCAGGUCCGGUUGUGAACACCGAUGUACUGUAGGUGAGCCUACUACCUUUCACACAAGGACAGCCAUUACCGCCGAAAUGUGUGAAUGGCUAACAAAUCACCAGCUUACUUUCCUUUAGCUGCCAAUGUGAUGUGCCCUUAGAACAACCUCUCCCAAUCCAAAUACAUAAACAUCUUUAAGCCCCAUACUCUUUUCCUCAGCCAACUAUAAUAACUAAAGGCAUCCUAAAGUCGUACAGAAACUAACUAGGCAUCAAAUUAAACAUAGAAUGUCACCCUUGGCUAAUUGACUAUCAUAUGUUCCAGGGUACAAAAGGAGCUAAGCAAAUGCAAACAUCAAAGUAGAGUAGCUAAAAUGAUAUCAUUCAUUGAAGAAGAACAACAGCCACUAUAAAAGAAUUUACUGUUCCCAUUGUAUAAUUACUGGAGACAUCAAACUUCAAAUUUGUUUCCAUUUUUUUCUUAGGGAACUGUUCUUCAAUUUUCCAAUGUUAGUGAAUGCGUCUGAAAAGAAACCGCAAUCAAAAGUUACCUCAAAGGACGCAAACACAUAGUUACUAUCGGUGUGCUUACUGACCAUUCACACAAAGAUUACAGCCAUUACAGCUGCGAGGGUGUGACUGGCUAAUUGGCCACCGGCAUAAACUCUCUCAUAGCUCCGAUUUCGGAAGAGACCUUUAUCGAAAUAGCAAUGAAGUGAUAGCAUGAAGCUAAUACCUCGCUCCUCCCAUUGGAAGCCACCUUAUCCAAACGCUGUCGCAAAGCCCAAGUCUUCAGCCGCACUGCAUAACAACAGAGAAGGAAAGAAGUCAAGCAUUUCGCCUACCUCGUCUUGCUCAAGGUUCGCAGAUCCAGUUUCGCCAUCUCGGAACCCUAAGUGGCGAAAGACCAUGAUGACGGGGAUUGAUCGCCUGAAGGAACUCCUCGACGGUGGUGGCGGCGAGGAAGAUCGAAGGCCUCGUCUCCAUGUCGAAGGGAAAUUGGCCGGCGAAGGUCGAGAAGAGAGAUAGGGUUUCAAGCAUUCAUCGAGAGAUUCGAACCGUUGGAUGCUUCAGUCAGUAGACGUGUUGUCCAUCGGACGGGUGCUUAUGCGACGGAUAGAGGUCCGCAUACAACCGUUGUGCGGUCCCAUUCCCCCAAAUGGUCGACGGAUAAACCCUACGCCAGAUUAAAAUCAGAUGUGGUAGUCGAUAGAGGUCCGCUCUCUCCGCUGCCC
rnacentral:lncRNA from 1 species